rnacentral:rRNA from 1 species
UGGAGGCAGGCCUAUCACAUGCAAGUGGAGCGGUAGCACAGAGGAGCUUGCUCUUUGGGUGACGAGCGGCGGACGGGUGAGUAAUGUCUGGGAAACUGCCUGAUGGAGGGGGAUAACUACUGGAAACGGUAGCUAAUACCGCAUAACCUCGCAAGACCAAAGAGGGGGACCUUCGGGCCUCUUGCCAUCAGAUGUGCCCAGAUGGGAUUAGCUAGUAGGUGAGGUAAUGGCUCACCUAGGCGACGAUCCCUAGCUGGUCUGAGAGGAUGACCAGCCACACUGGAACUGAGACACGGUCCAGACUCCUACGGGAGGCAGCAGUGGGGAAUAUUGCACAAUGGGCGCAAGCCUGAUGCAGCCAUGCCGCGUGUGUGAAGAAGGCCUUCGGGUUGUAAAGCACUUUCAGCGAGGAGGAAGGCGGUAAGGUUAAUAACCUUGUCUAUUGACGUUACUCGCAGAAGAAGCACCGGCUAACUCCGUGCCAGCAGCCGCGGUAAUACGGAGGGUGCAAGCGUUAAUCGGAAUGACUGGGCGUAAAGCGCACGCAGGCGGUCUGUUAAGUUGGAUGUGAAAUCCCCGGGCUUAACCUGGGAACUGCAUUCGAAACUGACAGGCUAGAGUCUUGUAGAGGGGGGUAGAAUUCCAGGUGUAGCGGUGAAAUGCGUAGAGAUCUGGAGGAAUACCGGUGGCGAAGGCGGCCCCCUGGACAAAGACUGACGCUCAGGUGCGAAAGCGUGGGGAGCAAACAGGAUUAGAUACCCUGGUAGUCCACGCUGUAAACGAUGUCGAUUUGGAGGUUGUGCCCUUGAGGCGUGGCUUCCGGAGCUAACGCGUUAAAUCGACCGCCUGGGGAGUACGGCCGCAAGGUUAAAACUCAAAUGAAUUGACGGGGGCCCGCACAAGCGGUGGAGCAUGUGGUUUAAUUCGAUGCAACGCGAAGAACCUUACCUACUCUUGACAUCCAGAGAAUUUGCUAGAGAUACCUUAGUGCCUUCGGGAACUCUGAGACAGGUGCUGCAUGGCUGUCGUCAGCUCGUGUUGUGAAAUGUUGGGUUAAGUCCCGCAACGAGCGCAACCCUUAUCCUUUGUUGCCAGCGAUUUCGGUCGGGAACUCAAAGGAGACUGCCGGUGAUAAACCGGAGGAAGGUGGGGAUGACGUCAAGUCAUCAUGGCCCUUACGAGUAGGGCUACACACGUGCUACAAUGGCGUAUACAAAGAGAAGCGACCUCGCGAGAGCAAGCGGACCUCAUAAAGUACGUCGUAGUCCGGAUUGGAGUCUGCAACUCGACUCCAUGAAGUCGGAAUCGCUAGUAAUCGUAGAUCAGAAUGCUACGGUGAAUACGUUCCCGGGCCUUGUACACACCGCCCGUCACACCAUGGGAGUGGGUUGCAAAAGAAGUAGGUAGCUUAACCUUCGGGAGGGCGCUUACCACUUUGUGAUUCAUGACUGGGGUGAAGUCGUAACAAGGUAACCGUAGGGGAACCUGCGGUUGGAUCACCUCCUUA